ensembl:lncRNA
CAAGCAUGAAUAACAAGUUUUUUAUUGAAUGAGCAAUGCCAAUGACAUUCAACCUUAGCUGCUAAUUUCAGAGUUGAAAUUUAAGAGGCCCUUUAUGCAUUCUUUCUGGAAUGAGAUGCAUUAUGCACACAAUAAUACUCUAUAAAGAUGUUGAUUACAUUCUGAAAUAAAAUCUUCACUUGCAGUAAGGUAAACAAAUUUUCCUAUUUCUUCUUUUCAGGGCCGCAGCAGUAUGUCUAAUCUACCCUUUAGUAGUAGUAUUUACAUGAACAACACCAUAGCUACUAAUGUUCUUGUGAAAGGUAAGGGCAGUGCCUGACUAAGAAAAAAGGUAUGUCUUCUUCCAUGCUGGUGAAGUGGCUGUCACAAUCCGCAUUGUCAGCCCAAAGGAUUGCAAGCCACGGCUAGCCUGCUGUUUGCUUUGGUCAGAGUGUAGGCUGCAGUAACAAGUUAUGUUGAUAGUAACGCCAGCAAGCAGGUGCUACUUUAUCAUAACCCAAAAACUGGAAGGAAGAGGGUGUAUCCUCAUUUCUUCACGUUAGUACCUUAUAUAUUAGAAAGCUUGUCUCAUUAAGGUCAAUCAUACAGCCAAACGGUGAGGGAGUCUGGAGCACUCUUAGGGACCGUGUUAGAGCACCUAAACUAAUGUCUCGCUGAGAACAACCCCCACCCCUGACCAGCACACCUGCUUUACCUCUGAAGAGACAGCAGAUGCCGGCGCCCACCAGCAGGGCCCAGCCUCCAGCACCCCCGCCGCCCCCAGCCAGCCGCCGCGGUGAAGGACGGAACCAGCCGAUGUACCGGGCAGCCAGGCCGCCUCGCGCCCCCGGGGGCACCCUCCUCCCCUCCCCGACGGGCGGCGCGGGAACCCGCCGCUACCGCAGGCGCUUGCCCUUGAGCCUUCCGCUCUGCGGGCCAGCUCCCAGCCCCCGGAUCCCACACACCGAGCCCCCGAGCGGCUCCCGCCGGGGCACCGGGUAACGAGACCCGGGCCCGGCCACCGCCUCCCUCGGGAAGACAGCGCCCCCACCGCCUUCAGGGCGCAU